ACCGAAGCAGGAACCUGCCUUUGUGAAAUGGGGACAAUAAAAACAUUUCCCCCUUCACUGCCCCACCCUUGUCUCUCCACUUACGAGGCUGGCGGGAGCGCUCGUUAGCCUGUAAACUGCUUCUGGUCUUCCUUGGAGAGUGACAUCUGAUGGAGGUGAGGAGGAUGGUUGCAGUUUACAGAACUGAAGUCGAAUGAGGUUGUUCCAGGCCUGAAAGGGACGCACAAGACUUCUGUUAACAUCUCAGUGGCAAAAAUUCAUCUUUGGCUACAUCUGGGCAUAGGAGGCGCUGGAAAAAGGAAUGCAUGUUUGAGCAGCUGUCUUUUAUCAACAACUUCACACUGUGGAAGAGGAAACAUGAUUUUUGGUGGGCCGAUAGCCAUCUCUUUUGUAAAAGUAUCAUCAUCAUCAUCCCCAUUUUUGGAUGGGGAAACUGAGGCUCCAGUGCUGAAGUAACUCACCCAAGGUCUGUAGCUGGUAAGUGGUGGAGGCAGGAUUUGAACCCAGGUAGUCCAGCUG
rnacentral:lncRNA from 1 species